GACGAACGCUGGCGGCGUGCUUAACACAUGCAAGUCGAACGGAAAGGCCCCUUUGGGGGUACUCGAGUGGCGAACGGGUGAGUAACACGUGAGUAACCUGCCCUUGACUUCGGGAUAACUUCAGGAAACUGGGGCUAAUACCGGAUAGGAAUCCUUGCUGCAUGGUGGGGGUUGGAAAGCUUCGGCGGUUUUGGCUGGACUCGCGGCUUAACAGCUUGUUGGUGGGGUAGUGGCUUACCAAGGCUUUGACGGGUAGCCGGCCUGAGAGGGCGACCGGCCACAUUGGGACUGGGAUCCGGCCCAGACGCCUACGGGAGGCAGCAGUGGGGAAUAUUGCACAAUGGGCGGAAGCCUGAUGCAGCAACGCCGCGUGCGGGAUGACGGCCUUCGGGUUGUAAACCGCUUUCAGCAGGGGCGAAGCUUGUGGUGACGGUACCUGCAGAAGAAGCACCGGCUAACUACGUG
rnacentral:rRNA from 1 species